UCCAGAUUUGUCCUAAUCACAUUUUAGGUUUGUUAAACGGCAAAACAAAGUGGUUCACGUGUUUCUACUCGUCGUUCUGGCCCAUCUACAUAUAUGGCACAUCUCCAAGAGAGAUACGGUUAAAUAGUUACGACCCAAACCGUUUAUAUUACGUCGACAUGCAAACCGAAGCAAAACAGCACACCUAACAGUUUUAAAUAUGCAUGGGAGAAGGUUAUUGUGAAACUACAGAAAAUUCUAAGCAACUUACAUGUUGAAAUCAUUUUAAACCGGUCCACGGUUAGAUGUAUACGAAUUUUACAAAAGGGCAUAUGAAUCUGUUCAAAAAAUAAAAAAAAAUGGAAUUGCUAGGAUUUGAACCCCAGAUCCAUUGGAUGGACAAUAAUAGCCCUACCACCAGACUAAUUAAGUGGUUGUGUCAAAAUUGACAAAACAACACAUCCACAAGUAUGACAGAAGCUGGUGCGCUGGAGGCAAAAUUCCUAAAAAAAUUAUAAUAUGCACUGAUGGGGAUUUGAUCCCUGGACCUCUCAUUUGAAAAUAAGGUUGCUAGCCACUGCACUAAACUCUGUUACUAGCAUGAAAGGAAUUCGAAUGUAUAUCAACUAGCCAAGACGGGAACAAAUAUGAGCUGGUGCACCACAAAAGAAAAUGAAACAUAAAAUCUGGGGCGCACGGGAGUNN
rnacentral:lncRNA from 1 species